UUUUUUUUGUAUUUUUAGCAGAGACGGUGUUUCACCGUGUUAGCCAGGAUGGUCUCGAUCUCCUGACCUCGUGGUCCACCCGCCUCGGCCUCCCAAAGUGCUGGGAUUACAGGCGUGAGCCACCGCGCAUGGGCUUCCAUUUUUAAAAAUCAAGAUUAGUAAUGCCACAGUGAGCAUCUUCCCCAUAAAGCCUUUCCUGGAAGAGGGAGACCCCCAGGUAGAAUCAGGGAUCAGAGUGUCCUUCUCUGUGCCCACCAUCCAGGGCUGUAUAUCUGUGUUCAGGCCUCAGCCCUGCCAUCCCUCAGCACAUCUAGGGUCCCUCCUGUGAAGGGUGCUCGGACCAUGGCUUCACCUGAUGCCCCAUCACCCAUGCCCAUUUGAGUGCUAAUGUAUUUUCACUGUGGUCCCCAGGCCCCCGGCUCUUCCUGUCAUGCCCCAUCGAUGUGGACGGCUCGAGAGUGUGGUUCACCGACUUGUGGAACUAUUCCAUUAUCCCCUAUCUCCUGGAAGCUGUCAGAGAAGGACUCCAGCUCUAUGGAAGGCGUGCCCCCUGGGAGGAUCCUGCCAAGUGGGUGAUGGACACAUAUCCAUGGGCAGCCAGCCCACAACAGCAUGAGUG
rnacentral:sRNA from 1 species